rnacentral:rRNA from 1 species
UGGGGAAUCUUCCGCAAUGGACGAAAGUCUGACGGAGCAACGCCGCGUGAGUGAUGAAGGUCUUCGGAUUGUAAAGCUCUGUUAAUCGGGACGAAAGAGUUCUGUGUGAAUAAUGCAGAAAAGUGACGGUACCGGAAUAGAAAGCCACGGCUAACUACGUGCCAGCAGCCGCGGUAAUACGUAGGUGGCAAGCGUUGUCCGGAAUUAUUGGGCGUAAAGCGCGCGCAGGCGGCCUAUCCAGUCUGUCUUAAAAGUUCGGGGCUCAACCCCGUGAUGGGAUGGAAACUAGUAGGCUAGAGUAUCGGAGAGGAAAGCGGAAUUCCUAGUGUAGCGGUGAAAUGCGUAGAUAUUAGGAAGAACACCAGUGGCGAAGGCGGCUUUCUGGACGAAAACUGACGCUGAGGCGCGAAAGCCAGGGGAGCGAACGGGAUUAGAUACCCCGGUAGUCCUGGCCGUAAACGAUGGGUACUAGGUGUAGGAGGUAUCGACCCCUUCUGUGCCGGAGUUAACGCAAUAAGUACCCCGCCUGGGGAGUACGGUCGCAAGGCUG